rnacentral:rRNA from 1 species
GGCGGACGGGUGAGUAACGCGUGAGCAACCUGCCCUGCAACGGGGGACAACAGUUGGAAACGACUGCUAAUACCGCAUGAGACCACGAAACCGCAUGGUUUUGAGGUAAAAGGAUUUAUUCGAUGCAGGAUGGGCUCGCGUCCCAUUAGAUAGUUGGUGAGGUAACGGCCCACCAAGUCAACGAUGGGUAGCCGACCUGAGAGGGUGAUCGGCCACACUGGAACUGAGACACGGUCCAGACUCCUACGGGAGGCAGCAGUGGGGAAUAUUGGGCAAUGGGGGAAACCCUGACCCAGCAACGCCGCGUGAGGGAAGAAGGUCUUCGGAUUGUAAACCUUUGUCCUAUGGGACGAAAGAAAUGACGGUACCAUAGGAGGAAGCUCCGGCUAACUACGUGCCAGCAGCCGCGGUAAUACGUAGGGAGCAAGCGUUGUCCGGAAUUACUGGGCGUAAAGGGUGCGUAGGUGGUCAUGUAAGUCAGAUGUGAAAGACCGGGGCUUAACCCCGGGGUUGCAUUUGAAACUGUGUGACUUGAGUACAGGAGAGGGAAGUGGAAUUCCUAGUGUAGCGGUGAAAUGCGUAGAUAUUAGGAGGAACACC